CUUCCUUCGGGAAAUUCCGAUAAAAUUGGAAUGAUACACACAAGAUUAACAUCGCUUUUGUGCAAAAAUAAAACGCACAAACCUAGAAAUGGUUCAAAUUUUA
rfam:Nicotiana attenuata strain TT chromosome 7, whole genome shotgun sequence.